rnacentral:rRNA from 1 species
AGUGAACGCUGGCGGUAGGCCUAACACAUGCAAGUCGAACGGCAGCACAGUAAGAGCUUGCUCUUACGGGUGGCGAGUGGCGGACGGGUGCGGAAUACAUCGGAAUCUACUUUUUCGUGGGGGAUAACGUGGGGAAACUUAGGCUAAUACCUCAUACGACCUACGGGUGAAAGCAGGGGAUCUUCGGACCUUGCGCGAUUGAAUGAGCCGAUGUCGGAUUAGCUAGUUGGCGGGGUAAAGGCCCACCAAGGCGACGAUCCGUAGCUGGUCUGAGAGGAUGAUCAGCCACACUGGAACUGAGACACGGUCCAGACUCCUACGGGAGGCAGCAGUGGGGAAUAUUGGACAAUGGGCGCAAGCCUGAUCCAGCAAUGCCGCGUGGGUGAAGAAGGCCUUCGGGUUGUAAAGCCCUUUUGUUGGGAAAGAAAAGCAGCAGGUUAAUACCCCGCUGUUCUGACGGUACCCAAAGAAUAAGCACCGGCUAACUUCGUG